AUCCCGGUAGUUCAAUGGAUAGAACACAGACCUCCUAAGUCUGGGAUAGUGGUUCAAUUCCACUCCGGGAUACCA
rnacentral:tRNA from 1 species